rnacentral:rRNA from 1 species
CCCUACGGGGGGCAGCAGUGAGGAAUAUUGGUCAAUGGGCGCAAGCCUGAACCAGCCAUGCCGCGUGCAGGAAGACGGUCCUAUGGAUUGUAAACUGCUUUUAUUUGGGAAUAAACCUAUUUACGUGUAGAUAGCUGAAGGUACCAAAUGAAUAAGCACCGGCUAACUCCGUGCCAGCAGCCGCGGUAAUACGGAGGGUGCAAGCGUUAUCCGGAAUCAUUGGGUUUAAAGGGUCCGCAGGCGGAUUUAUAAGUCAGUGGUGAAAGCCUACAGCUCAACUGUAGAACUGCCAUUGAUACUGUAAGUCUUGAAUUCGGUCGAAGUGGGCGGAAUAUGACAUGUAGCGGUGAAAUGCUUAGAUAUGUCAUAGAACACCGAUAGCGAAGGCAGCUCACUAGGCCUGGAUUGACGCUCAGGGACGAAAGCGUGGGGAGCAAACAGGAUUAGAUACCCCGGUAGU